UACGUAGGUGACCAGCGUUAUCCGGAUUUACUGGGCGUAAAGAGCGCGCAGGCGGUCGUUCAAGUCGAGUGUGAAAGCCCCCGGCUCAACUGGGGAGGGUCACUCGAUACUGAUCGACUUGAAGGCAGGAGAGGGAAGCGGAAUUCCCGGUGUAGUGGUGAAAUGCGUAGAUAUCGGGAGGAACACCAGUGGCGAAGGCGGCUUCCUGGCCUGUUCUUGACGCUGAGGCGCGAAAGCUAGGGGAGCAAACGGG
rnacentral:rRNA from 1 species